UUGAAAGAUAAUAUACAAGUAUAAAAAUAGUUGAGAUAUGUUUUUGAUUUAUGGUAUGUUUUAUUUUCUUCAGAAUUCACUUUAAUUGUCUUUCAAGAAAAGACUUGUUUAUAAGUUCUAUUGUUGCUAUUCUCCCAAUUUAUCCAUCUGCAUGUAAGAAAGCUAGGCAAAAAUUGUCAGCAAUUAAAUCUACAAUACCAGUAAUCAAAAGGUUUCUUAGCUUUUUCUGAUUUAAUGAUAUUAAGGUAACAUAAUAAUAUUAUUUUCUCUGCAGCAUAUUCCUCAGUGAGUAACAUUUCUCUUCAUAUAAGCGGACCAUACAAACCUCUCUCUAGUAUUCCACGAUCGAUCUCAGUGAUUCUUUAUCUAAGACAGAAAAACCGAAGACAUUUUGGUUUUCUUGAAGACUGCAUUAUGCACUUGGGUUAAAGAAUUGUUGGGCACAAAGUUCCAACAUCACAGAUGGUUAUUAGACUUGAGUUGCCCUGAGACAGAAUCCUUAUGUUGCUCUGUGUUAUUCUAUAUUUGGAACUAAUUGUAUUUUUACUCAACAAAGGGUUCAAACACAUGCAAUUAAAAACAAAGUGAAGUUGCUUCCUUUGAUCUAAAUGGAACUAAAAGUCAUGAUUUUUUUGUUGUUGUUGCUUGCUUUUAGAAAUUUACUGUUUAGUUAGCAGGACUUUAACUGGGCAUCAGGCUAACUUAUAUAUUCAAGUGAAUUGAAAAAGGGGCAUGCUGUCCAUGUCCUGGGGGAAUUCCUAGAGGUGGGUAUGCAUCAAGGUCAGGUAAGGUGACUUCAGUCUGGUCCAGGAAAAAGUGGAGCUAGCAGGGCCUCCAAGAAUCAUGGUAGAAUAGGGUCGGCCGGAUGCCACUAACACUUCACCUGGUUGCCCAGCAAGAGCAUCACUGCUUGAAUAUAACAGGACUUCUCUUACAUGUCCACUUCUCUUAGCCUUUUGAUUGCCUUCCUCAGUGACCUUCCAAGGCAAUUUUGGAAUGUACACAUUGUGAAAAUCAGGGAUUCCCAAAGCUAACCCAGCAGCAUUUUAGGUCUAGAUGUGAUUUCAGCAAAUUCUUUGAAGGGUAGAUAACUUUGCCUCAACCAUGCAGGAUAACUGUGAAGAUGGCGAAGAAGUUCGAAGCAUAGGAAACAAGGGAACAGUAGUGUUUAUAGAUAUUGGUUAACAGCCACCACGGGGUCUGUAAAUUCCAAAGUACUUCCAGGAUAUGUGUAUUCUCCGUGCAUGUAGACAAAUAAGAUUUUGGCAGCCUGGGGGCAGCCAUCUAAUAAAGAUGCAAGUGCUGGUUGCUGGGAGAACAAAGGAACUAUGAUAAGUGUCUGCUUUGCCACAGUGUGUAUAUCUGUAAUUAUACAUGCUUUUUUUUCUGUUGUCUUUUCUAUAAAUACAUUUCCUUAUUUUAAAAAAAAGGUCUAUAGUGACUUUACUUGGAAAAGCCAAGUAGUGACCGUGUUGACACUGAUAUGACCUUCUUAUUCUACUCCUUUUCUCUAUAGCCCUUCUUGAUCUCACAUAUCUCAGGAAGUUUGGUGAUAUUUUUCAAUUUACUAGAAAACCUCUACCAACAAAUCUAGUCAUAGAGACUGGACUAACAUUUGGAUGGAUGGAUGAAUUAACAUUUUUCUGAUUACAAGAUCCAAAAAAAAGGGCAGAAGCAAUGAGAUAGGCUGAUCAUAUCUAAGAGAAGCUCAGUGGUUUAUCAGCAUAAUUUUCUUUCUUGGCAUAUUUCAAUAAGCUCUGAUGCAAAUUACUUAAGUAUCAAGAUGAUGUCAAAUUUAUGAUUCCCCUCUAGAAUAUUAAUUUAUAUGAAGUCACUGAAUCAUAUAUUUUUGAAGUUAGAAGAAACCGUGACAUCACUUAGCUUAAUCCUCUCAUUUUAAAAUUGAAGAAGUCAUUGUUGAAGAGAUAAAAUAUCUUCCCAGGAAAAUGUAGAUUUAAAUAUGUGAAGGAUGUUACUUUUGACUCUCUACUCAAUUGCUUCCUUGACCCUUCUUCCUUAGAUGCUAUUCAAUUUUAAUAAUGUUUCUGCAAUAUGAAUAUAUUUUUAUAUGGUAGACAUUUAUGGUUAUACCUAAAAGAAAGCUCAAAUAAAUGGAUGUGCAUUAUGUUGUAGCUUAUACAGCUUUAUAUAGUAUAUUUUAAAAAUUCCUUCUUAUUCCACAAUUAGCUCACAAGGUAGCAUAAGAUUAAUCACUUUAUUUUUCUAAAUGGGUAUAAAACUUUAAACAUAUACAGUGGUUGUAAGGAAAAUUCCUUUUUUUCUCUCUCUCUCUUCACAAUUGUUCUUCUUAGUGAUAUGUGAUCAGGAAGGCAAAAAUCUCAAUUUUCUAAACAGCAUACAUGUACAAAAGGUCACAGUUAAGGUUACCUUGGGGGUUCUAAUUCUGAAUUUCCUGAAUUUUGUGGCUUUAAAUCAUAACUUUAAUGUUCCAUUAAUGCAGAGUGUUUUUUUUACACUGAAUUGUUUUAUGUCUUUUAUUCUGCACUAAUGGACAUUGUGUCCAUUUCGGUGAAUAUCAAAGAGAGUUCAAUAUUCUGGUAAAACUCUUUUUAGUUCAUGUUUUAUUUUUUAAAUCCUUUUAUUUGAGUUUUGACUAAGACAAUUUAAAAGCUUUUCUAUCAAUAACAUUUUUUUUAUCUUAUAGAACAAUCCAAGCAAUAUUGUUUUGGUAUUUAAAAUUAAAAUGUACCUUCUGAAAACUGAAAAAUUUAUGAUUUGUUUUAUUGUUUUAGUAGCUUUAAAAUACAAUUAAAUCAUUAGGCCAGUAUCUUUAUCAUUCAUGUUUAAAACCAUCAGACUGUCUAUCAUCAAAAAAAACCCAAAUAACAAAAACUUUAAUUGAACAUGAAUAUGAAUUAUACUUAUGCUCACAGUGCAGCUCUUUAAUUCUGAGACACUUUGUGAAUUUUAUAGAGAGAUCCUAUUUUAGUAUAUUUUUGUAUAAUCAAUCAGAGUUCUGAGGUAGCUGCUCAAUAAAUAUUUAUUGAACUAUAGUUCUCAAAUUCCCAAACUUACUAUGGUUAUUUCUAUUUUCUAUCCCAAAAUAUGCCUCUUCAUUUUAAAUCGGAGGUGGUACACAUCAAUUCCAAUUAGCUCAGUGAUAGUUCUAGUACUGAGAAUUAUUCUGCAUCAAAUUAGAAGAGAGGAAAGAUGUAACUUGUUAAUUAUCAAUAAACCUAUUUCAUGAAGACAAAAUCUAAGCAUAGUAAAAGCAAGGGCUGUGUUUUGUUUAUCACUCUAAGCUAGAAGCUAUAAUGUAACACUAUUUGAAACUGGCUCCCUAGAACUUAAAUGAUGUGUUUACUAUUUUGGCUUCAGGUUGACAUCUUGACAUAUGCCAAACCUAAGGUAUUUCCCAUACAUAAUUUUCUUUAUAAUUUUUUUUUCUUAGAAUGAAAAUGCUCUCUGGACAUGUAAAUUAUGGAGUUUAUUAGAAUUAGUAGCAACAGAAAGAAUUGUUGAAAUAAUUGAUGUUGUAUGAAAAACAAAGGAGAAAAUCCAUAUAAGUAAGCUACUUCCAGGGCCAAAUAUGAAUGACUCUUAAUAUGUCACAGUACUUAAUUCUCAUGCUCAAAAGGUUAUUCCUUUUUUUUUCUUCAGUUGGGAAACAAUAAUAUUCAGAUGAGUUGAAUAUCUUGGCAAAGGAUAAAGUGAGGAAUUCAGAACAUGAUAACGUAAAAAACUGAAACACACACCAAAAAAUUUACCAAAAUUGAACAACUGUGUACUCCUUAAUUGACCAUUUUAUUCCUAGGUAUAUUCAACAGAAAUGUGCACAAAUAUUCACCAAAAUUUAUGCACAAAAAUGUCCACAGUCUUACUCAUAAUAUUAAAAACUGAACACAACUACAGGAUCUGUACAUGUGUGUGUGUGUGUGUGUGUGUGUGUGUGUGUGUGUGACUAAACAUUGGGUAGAUUUAUACAAUGCAAUAUUAUACAGUAAUACUAAUAAACCACAUUUACAUGCAGUUAAAGAUCUCAAAAACAAUGUUGCACUAACAAAGGCUGACAAACAAUUUUCUCCCGUAUGAUUCAAUUUAUAUAAAUUUCAAACACAAAGAAAACUAGUUGGUGGUUUUGAAGUUAGGCAGUGAUUGGAAGGGGAACCUUUGAGGGUAACUAUGACUGUUAAUUUUGUUUCUUGAUCUGAGUUUUGGUUACACAGAUGAGAUAGGUUUGUAAUAUUCAUUGAACUAAAUAUGAAUUGGGAACUUUUGUGUAAAAAAUCUAUAUUAAAAUUUCAUUUAACCAAAAAAUACAUGCUCAAGUGAAAGUGAAAUAUAUUUUGGAGUCAUAGAUUUAGGUCCAAAUGUAUCUCUACACUUGAUCUUAGCCAAAAGGCCGAGAAGUGAUCCAAAUAUAUCUCUACUUUUACUUUAUAUUAUUUUCAGAUUUCAAGUAGGGAAAUGAGGCUGGAUCACCUACAUUAUAAAAUUAUAAUUAUAAAAUUAUAAUUAUAAAAUUGGUUUAAAGAUUAAGACCAAUGAUUAAACUACUCAUGGCAUAAAAUAAAUAUUUAGGAAAUAAAUAUUAGGUCUUUGUUUUUAUGUUAAAGUUCAAAUGUAUAGUGAGCACAGAACUGGAAAUCAAAUCUACAUCUGACUUGAAAUCCAAAGUUUUUCCUGAGGUCAUAUUGUCUCUCCUACUGUGACUUUGCUCUUAAAAAAGAAUUAUAUGUUGCAGAUAUUAAGGAAAAUUAUUUUAGAAUGGUAUAGUUUAAAGCAUGAAUAGAAAAAAAUGUAACUAUUAUCAAUCACUUUUAGCCUAAACCAUUUUUUAAAAUCUAGGAUAGAGAAACAUAUUUCAAAUUUUAAUUCAUUUGAACUCUCAGUGGCCUCAAAACAACUAGUCAUGCCAGUACCAGAUGUUCUCAAAAGAGAUUCUGAUUUACCAGUUAGUAUUUUAUUUCAUGAGAGUUCAGGACCUGAUGACUUGCAACUUC
rnacentral:lncRNA from 1 species